rnacentral:rRNA from 1 species
GACGUAGGGGGGCCAGCGUUGCUCGGAAUUACUGGGUGUAAAGGGUUCGUAGGCGGUGUGGCAAGUCGGGAGUGAAAUCUCUGGGCUCAACCCAGAGUCUGCUUCCGAAACUGCUGUGCUUGAGUGUGGGAGAGGCGCGUGGAAUUGCAGGUGUAGCGGUGAAAUGCGUAGAUAUCUGCAGGAACACCCGUGGCGAAAGCGGCGCGCUGGACCACUACUGACGUGAGGAACGAAAGCUAGGGGGAGCAAACAGG